rnacentral:rRNA from 1 species
UACAGAGGUCCCGAGCGUUGUUCGGAUUCAUUGGGCGUAAAGAGCUCGUAGGCGGUUUGUCGCGUCUGCCGUGAAAGUCCGGGGCUCAACUCCGGAUCUGCGGUGGGUACGGGCAGACUAGAGUGAUGUAGGGGAGACUGGAAUUCCUGGUGUAGCGGUGAAAUGCGCAGAUAUCAGGAGGAACACCGAUGGCGAAGGCAGGUCUCUGGGCAUUAACUGACGCUGAGGAGCGAAAGCAUGGGGAGCGAACAGG